rnacentral:tRNA from 1 species
GGGCGCGUAGCUCAGCGGAAGAGCACUCCCUUCACACGGGAGGGGUCACAGGUUCAAUCCCUGUCGCGCCCACCA